AAACCAUGCACUGGACAUUUGCGCAAUAAAUCUUUAAAUUACUCCCAAACUUCAUACAAACUCCUAUCCUCCAAUGUUUUGAAAUAUGUGAUGUCAUUCCUUAGCUU